UCUCCCGGUGGGGGCGUUUCUCUCUUUAGAACUAAAAUCUCCAGGCCGUGCUAGGGGCGCCGGGGUGGUGAGGAGAUCUGCCCACUCCCAGCCCCCCGUUCCCAGCUCUGUGCCUCCCGGCUGUGGGAGACACGGCACCUCAUUCCCUUCGCCACAGUCUGGGGGACGUUCCCUCAGCCGCGCCGAUUGUGGGCACCCUCAGGAGUCUCUAGGAGACCCUUCCUCGGUUCCACCAGGCCAGCUGCUUCAGGGGAGGGAAGUGAGAAGGCCGGGGGACCCCGUGAGCACGAGCCCGGUGCUGCCUCGCUGCCCACGGAGCGAGCGUCCCCGGCCACGCUGAAUGUCACCGACGGCAGACCGAGAGCUCCGCGAGGCCAUAGGCCAGGGGAAGGGCCACCGCUGAGCGGGAGAGAGGAGCCACUGCCCCUGCGCGGUGCGGACGCAUCAUCCAGACUUAUCGGUCCAGUCAGCACAACAUCGCCAAUGAAGUGGCCCAGCGUGACAUCCUGUGGGCUGGCCGGGAGCUCCCGAUGCCGAGGGAGCACUGGCGACCUGCAGGCCCCAGGACGGCUGGACAUGCCCUCCCGAUGGCAGGCAAACUCCAGUGCCAGGCGUCCUGAUGGUGACCACGAGGGGUAUGACCUCCUGGUGCCCCAGCAUCCCCGCUGCCCACCUCCCAGGCCCUCCCCAUCCCUCUCCCAAUUUAUUUGGAACCAAAUAAGAGAUUAAGAUAAAAAUAGUUUCCAGGAGGCAGAUCAUUUGGUAAUUACGUGCAGGUGUUAAAUAGCUCCUGGCUCCCUGGCCGACCCCCGCCCCACUGCCGGGUAUGGGUGGGGGCGGUAAUUACAAAGCCGGCUGCCCCUUAAUCCUCGUAAUGGGCCAGGCCUGCCUGUCGCCCGCCCGCCUGGCAGCCCACGCUCAGAACCCAGCUUCCCGGGAGAGAGGGGGCCACCCAGCCACCGCCACCGGGGCCGCCCAGGCGCUGCUUGCAGAGCCUCCCAGCUGCCUGUGAGGGAUGCCCUGUGAGCCAUAGCCACCUCCCAGAGGGGGAAACUGAGGCAGUGAGCAUGGGGGGACAUGUCCAAGGUCAUGGGCAAGUUUGGGGGCACCCCCGUCUGGUCCUUCUUCACCCAGCAUGACAGAAGGGCAGCGACAGGCAGGGAGUCACUGGAGACAGCUGGAGAACUCACGGGUGACCCAUCACUGUCUGUGUCCCUACAGCGCUGCUCUCCAUCCGUGUCCCUGAGGACAAAGCCUGGGCCUGGGGGAGGGGCAGGGUCACAGGAGGGCAAACUCGCCUGAGGAAAAUGUUUCUCGGGGCACGAGCUGCUCUGGAGCACCGAGCACCGAGCACCGAGUACCUCGUGCCGGCAGGCGCCACAGCUGGCUGGUCCCUCCAGGGGCCACAGGUGAAUUGGUGGCUGGUGGACUUUUCAGCGCCCCUUCUGCAGGGAUACCUGGGUCCUCUGUCCCUGUCAUGGCCAUGGCUGGCUGGCUGCAUUCUCAGAAGACCUGGCACAGUGGCCGCCACACCCACCAUCCUCAUAGAGGGUAGAGCAGGCCAAGAGCACGGAGGGCAGCCAGGCCAUGACAGGCCAUCCUGCCAGCUUCCACCGCAGCCCUGGGCCCCAGCUCUCCUGCCCACUGGGAAGCCCCUCCCUGCAGGCCCCCCUUCAGCCCACCUACCCAGGGAAAUGUCACCUCCUCUGGGAGUCAAUCCUUUGAUCAACCUGGCAGAGGCCACUCUCGCCCCUGGAAUCUAACAGCCCCUGUCAGAGCCCUCCCACCAACUACGUCACGUCACUGGAAUUAACUGAGACCCUCCUCAAGGACAUGGACCAUGUCAUGUCCACCUGUACAUCCCCAGGCCUCUCUGAUCCCUGCUCCCACCCCAGCGGCACGGAGACUUCCUGCCAGAGCUGAGCCUGGCUCUUCUACUCCCACUGCCUCCCAUGGGGCCACGUUGGAGAUGGUGGCCUCUCUCUAGGGGACGGUUCAUUCCAGCCUGUUGUGCAGCUCAGGGGCAAGUCAGCAAGGAUGGCUGUCCCCCAGCCCCGCCCACCCACUGGGGCCCACAGGACAGCCUCGUGGAGGACCUGCACCUGAACCUCUGGGCAGAGGGCAAGAUCCGCAUAGGACAGGUGAGAAAACUGAGGCUCCUGCCCCCCGGUAGCAGAGACAGUGUUUGGACCCGAAGCCAAUCUUACCUCCUGGUAGUGCUCUGGCCACCCUGCUGCGGACCCAAUGCCCCACACCUCACUUCAAGGCCAAAUGCUCAAGAGCAAAGCCUCAAAUAAUGCUGGACACAGAGCAGGCACUUCACCCAUUCAACAGCUACCCCUCUUUGUGCGGAGUACAACAGGGCACACGACAGGCACGGACCCCUGCCCUGGGGGGCUGGUGCUGUCCUGGGGUGGGUGACGAGCAGAUAGAUAUACUUGUAACUUGUCAUGUGGAGGACGGGCACGUGCUGGGAAGAGAGACAGAGCAGGUGACGGCAGCCCCGUGUGUGAGCCACUCGGUAAUUCUAGACUUUUUCAUAGGCGCGUGGACAAACACAAGAAGAAAUAGAUGAAAUUAAUGUUAACAAUAUGGGUAAUUUAAUACACUAGUUCCAAAUGUUACCAUGUCAACAUGUGGUCAAUGUAAAUAAUUCUUGUUAUUUUACUUGUUUUUCAUUCUGUGCCUUUGAAAUCAGUGUGUAUUUUAUACUUACGGCGCAUCUGGACUCUGCCUAGCUGCAGUUCAAGUAUCCAGGAGCCACGCGUAGCUGGUGGCUGCUGCAUUGGCCGGUAGAGGUCCAGGGCGACGGGGGAGAGGGUAGGUGUGUCUCUCACACAAGGGAGGUCGGAGAAGGCCUCUUGGAGGAGGUGAUUUCUGAGCACAGGUCUGGAAGCAAGGAACAGAGCCAGCAGCUCUAUGGGGAAGGAUUGUCCUGGGCAGAAGGAAGAGCAAGUGCAAAGGCCCUGGGACAGGCAUGAGCCGGCAGCUGGAGCAGAUGAGCAGGGAGAAUAGCAGGAGACAGCCCAGAGAGGCCCUGGCUCGGUCGGCGCUGUGCCCCGCUGUGAGGACUUUGGCUCUUGCUCUGAGAAGAGCCCUGGGCAGGCGGCUUGGCCGGGCCGGCCUGGGUUCUGAGGAGAGCACACGGCGUCACUGCGCACGCCUAGCCCGACUGCCGUUCGCCAGCACUGUGACUUCAGGGACUGCACCAGCACCUAUGCGUCGUGAGGGCUGCACAGUGCCUGGCACGGUGCCGGCCCGCGGGGUGAGCACCCGUAAAAGCAAAAGCUACCCAGUGCGCCGUGAGUCCAAGUCUUUAGGUGAGGCUCACACGUUCCCAGGUGCCAGGGGUUUCUGCUUCUUGGGGAAGGCAAGCGGGCGGCCCUCAGCCUCCCUCUCCCUGCACCCUGUGACACUGGCCUGUCUCCACAUUCCGAGAAUUGCUGCAGGUGAUAAAUGGCUUUAUGGCAAGGCUGCCACCAGCAUGCCUACAGGGCGGCCUCCACUUCCUCAGCCCUGGCUGGGCGGGGAGCUGGGCAGGGCCUCCUGACCCCACCAGGAAGCCCUGCAGCCUGUCCUGGCCCCAGCGCGCCCCACCCUCACCCCACCGCCUCAGCCUAGCCUCUGAUUCCCAGGCCCAGGGCGCAGGCAAGGCCUCCUCCCCCUGCACCGUGCACUCAUGCCUUCUCUCAGCACACGCUGCUGGAGCCGUGGAGAUCCAGGAAGGGACAGGGCCGACAGAGGUGCCUGCCCCCAGGGAGCAGGCCGUCCAGGUUGUGGGGUCACUUAGUGACCCCCCGGUCCUCAUUUCAUGGGCUUCUCUGACCAGAUGCCAGUGAAGACCCUCUUCCUGACCACCACUGAGACCCGGAAUGGCAGCUUGUCAGGGGCUUCCGUUAGAGGGCACGGCUGCCGGUGAAUCCUGCGAGAGGAAUGUGGGGCGGGCGCAAGGAGGACUUACUGGUCACCUGGGGAAUAAGCCUUGAAAUAGGAAAGGAAAAGACAGACUUCCCAUUGCCUGCAGAAAUUUCAAUAAAUACUUGGAAAAUGAUGCAUUAUUAGGAGAAGAAAAAAGAAAAACAAAAGAAAAUCCCUGCUGGCCAGAUGCCAUCCAUUCACAGCAGCUGUCUCUCGGGGAAGGUGCAGGGUUAGAGGACUUUGUUUGCCUUUUGUUUUCCUAUUUUCCAGAUUUUCUGCCAUGCAUAUAUAUUUACUGUAUAGUAAAGAGUUUAACAAGAAAAAACAAACAUGUAACAAAACAAUCCCAGUUUGGAAACCCAGCACCUCUUAGAACCUCCUGGAGCACUUGUGUCUGGCUGGCAGGACCAGGAACGCGCCCGGCUGAAAGGAGAUGGGGUUACCGUUCUGCCGAACCCCAACCUGGGAGCAGAGGUGGCCUCGGAGCUGGGAGACUGUGACUGGCCGCAGGAGCUGAGCCCGGGAAAAGGGAGCACAGACCGUGGGCGAGACAGCAGUGUCACGGAGCCAAGGGGGCCAAGAGGAGCCGCCAGGGAUGGAGGUGCUCACAUUGAGAGUGGCCGUCAAGUACCAGCCCGUUGUCGGUUGAGAGCAUUAGAUGAGUCAAACACGAAGUGCUGAAAACGGGGCCCGGCAUCCGGUAAGUGCCUGCUGAACGCUGCUCGCUGUCGGUCCCGCCCCACCACAGCAGCACGUUUUAAUCUCCCAAAGGGGUGGGGAACCCGCAGCCUUCUGAUCUCAAGACUGUUCUUCUUUAGCCACCAAAGGAGGGGAGAAAAGCUUCAUCUUUCUCUG